UUACCCACUAUUUACAACUUACCGGUUGGGAAAAAAAAUGCGACCCUUCUUUCUCCAUGCACUGUCCCCAUACCCCCUUCCUUCUCUCCCGGCGCUGGCCAAACCCUGGGCUUGCCCUCUGGGAAACGUCAUCGGCGGUCUCCUCUCCCAUUCGGAAUGGAUCUCCAAGAUGAUGCUCUCCCUUCCGGUACAGCUUGGGGGGUCGGACCCCGUUCAUCCUGCUGGUGAUUGGGAGCCUGGCGGGAGGAGUGCGCUGAGGACUGGUGUCGAGGUGCUUCUCAAAAGCAUAGUUGCUACUGGAGUCACAAUCCAAGCCCCUCCUCCUCAGCCCAAUCGCGACGGCUUGCAGAGCAGAGAAUUCAAUCGAGGUCGUCCGAGCUGAGUUCGUCAAGUCGCCGUCCGAGGCUUCAAAAAAAGGAGAAAGAAAGUUGAUCAGUAUAAAGCUCGUACAAGAACUUCAAGUUGAAACUUCACCUUCCAACUCGGAGAAAGGCAAGCACUGGAGCAUCUACGCCUACUAAUUUUAAUUAACUUGUAUUAUUACUUGUGUACUGCAAUUGAAUGCUUAAGUCUAGAAGUUGCUUGAAACCCAUUUGAUGCAUGUUCAGCCUCCUUGAUUUAAGGACAUCUUUGCCACCUUCUCAAAUAGUUAGAUCAAACCGAAGUGUUUAAAAGAAACCCACACUAAAAGCAACCAAAGGUCUAGGUUUUACUCAAAGGUUCACUCGAUAUAUCAAGGCAAUGGUUGGUAAGUAUGGUGAUUGUAAGCAGAAGAGGAGUUCUGGCUCUGUCCUCACUUUCAAAGAAAGAAAUAAGGAACUAUGGUAUGUUUGACCGUAGAUCAAGCGUUGAACAAACUGGUCAUAUGCUGACAUAUGGAACCAUUAUGCCUGGUAGCUUGGUUGACUUAAAUUCUUGAACCAAGUUGUACCCCACUCGACGUGGAAUUGGUGGCGGGGUCAUAGCCCGAAACUCGUGUUGAGAUCAGGCCCGAGGGGGGGGGGGUCCUUCACGGGGAUGCAAAGCCGGGUGUUGGUAAUCUUGGUUCAGGGUUUAGUUCCUCCUUGUGAAAGGUUGCUAUGUGCAGUUUACCUGAAGCUGUACGUGAUGUGUGGCGAGUUAUCUCCUGCAAGAUGUAAAUCGAUUCGAAUCGCUGCAAUUCUCGGAUAUGAAUGCCAUUUGAUCCCUCUUAAACAUCGUAACUAAUUACGAUGCAACCAAUAUAAAAGUUAUUGCUUGUGAACCUAGAGGUAUCUUGGUGCUUGUAUAUUAGAGUUAUUCUUGAACUAGUGUCUUUUUGUAAGUCCUUAAUUAGGUAUAGUCACUGUUUUGGAGUCUAAAUGUUUGUAAAAUGAACCAGUCCACCAAACACAACCUUGCAUACUCCUUGAUCCUAUUUAUUUAUAUAUUAUUAUUUUAGUCGGUUAAGUCUUGCUGAGUACCUUCGUACUCAGUGUUUGUGCAUAACUAUUUUUAGCAGCUCAAACGGCCGAAGAAGCCCAAGGGUGAUGCCUCAAGGCCCGAGGGUAUCUUGAGUCCAUACACCUCUAGAUGUUUCAAAAGAUUAUUGUAAUAUAGCUAGUUUUAAUUUUAAACCCUAUGACUGUAAGAUCCACAUGUUUGAAACUCUAUAGCCCUGGCUUGGAUUAAGGGUUGUGCUUGUUAUGUAAUAAUUCUUGUCUUGUUCUAUAAUCUAUAUUGAACGCAUGCAUUUAAUAUCUGAUGCUCCAAUGCAAAUUGGUCCUUUAUGUAUAUCUGAGACAGUUGUUCAGUGGAUGAUUCGGGUGAAACCCGACGGAUUACCAAAUUUGUUAUACCUUAAGAGCGUUAGCGAGAUUAUCUUUGUAAAAAGGUGAUCUGGCGCUCUUAAGCUGGGAUAAAUUGGGUGGUUCCACCACAAAAAUGUCGAUGAACUGGUUCCAGCAAUUUAUCAUCGAGCUCGGUCUUGCUCUCCCUAUUUCUGAAUUUCUUUGUAAUUUGCUUUCAUUUUACGGGAUUCAGAUCCAUCAUCGUCCCCAAUUCCAUUCUUCAUCUCUGCAUCUUUGUUCAUCUCUGUGAGGCCUUCCUUGGCAUUCCACCUCAGUGGAAUCUCUUUCCUUAUCUUUUCCAUCUCAAACCCCAACCCAACAGUGCUAAUCCUAGUUUGAUUGGAGGCUGUGGGUUCUAGCUCAACCAGGGUAGGGGGUCGGAGUAUAUAGAAUAUGAUACACCGAGUAGUUUGUCUGGGUGGAAGAAUUGCUGGUUCUACAUCGGGAACCACGCACCCUCCCUACCUGUUCGGACUCAUGAAGCCCUCGUGCCCGAGGAUUGUUGGAAAUAUGAUGUUUCGGAAGAAGAUAUGGCCCAGGUCUGGGGUCUCCUUCAGAAGAUCCAGGACCUGAGGAAGGUCGGCAUUACAGGCACCACCAUUCUGUUGUCGUGGCUGUGGAGGCGUAUACAGCCUCUGCAACUACGUACACAUUUCGGGUAUGAGUAUGCCGGGGUUGGUGAACCUUCUCGCAUCACCUCAGAAGAAUUGGUGAUAGGCUGGCCCUGAAGAUGCUCAAUCGUGCAUUUCUCAGGGUCCUGGCGUUGCCUGUCAUCCCCGAGUUGUUCAGUGUCGAAAGGCCCCCAUCUCCUGUGAGUUCUUCGCUGAAGUCUGAGUACUUUGGCACUCGACUUUCAUCUUUUCUUUUUUUGAUUUCGGCUUUAUUGUAUGUAGGAACACCUUGCCUCUUUUCAGAGUCAUCCCCCUCACGCUGAUUCAUCCCAUGCGUAUUUCUUGAAUACGACUACUUUUCCAGAUGGGUGGGAUCUUAUACUCUGUGUUCCUUGAUAGGUGGUGUGGAGAAGAUAUCAGCCGAAGAGGCUGAGACUCGUUCUGGUGGGCGGCCGUCUUCUCGUCCUCCCAAGAAGAGGAGGACCUCCAGUCGGCUUGCCACCGGGGAAGAUAAUAAGCAGACGGAUAGGUUAUUUCCCUCCUUGAUUGCAUUGUUUGGUCCAUUACCUUUGCAUUUACUAAGUUUAUGUUUAUACCUUAAGCUCCGGUGGUGGAGGUGGUGCUGCUAGGGCUAUUGCAGCCCUCGCCACUCUUUUGAAGCCUGUUUUGGCUGUGAAGCGGUCGUCACUAUAAGUUGCUUGUUCCUCUUUGUUCCCCAUCCUUCAGGUGGAUGUUCUUUGUGCUAAAGUUUUGGAGCUCUAUUUCAGAUCUGCCGCUUCGGCAAAAGUGACAGUUGCUUCCUCUGGCCAAGGGCGGAGCACGGCCUCUGCAUCGGGGACUUCGAUCCCUAAUGCUAUCCCUAUUCGUGAUGAUGGGGAUCAAGCCAAUCAGGGUGGUGCUCCUACUGGUAAUGUUGAUCCUAACCUUGGUAGUGAACAGCUGGUGUCAGAGGAAGACUUUACCGAGCUGAAGACGAUGUUCCGCCGUAUCUACGGCUUUACCAUUGUGAGUUGUUCUGAUGCAUCCUGCCCAAGUGGGAUUGGAUGAAAAACCCGACACAACGAUCCGGAUUCCCCGAAUCCCGCAAUCUUAGCACCGACAGUCGAAAAUACGAUGCACCGAUCCGGCCUUAGGAGUCCACUAGGGCCCAACGACCUGAACCUUGGUAAUCUUAGUACCGUACUCCGGCGCACCCCUCGGGGAAAGUCUCAAUCACCCCAAAAGACUAGUCCGAUAGGGGAAGGGUGGCUCUCCCUUUUAAGGUGGUUUCCUCCUCCCAAGCUAAGCAAGGUGGGAUUAUUCAGAGGCUCACACGGUUGCCGAUAGAUUACAACUGGGCCACUUGGCCCAUUUUUGUUGUGUCUUUGCCAGCGAGUAAUAGUGGAGGAUGUCCUCAUCAUUCCAGCCCCUUAACAAGGGCCCAGCUCUGA